rnacentral:misc_RNA from 1 species
UUGUGACAUGGGGUAUUCUAAUAAAACUUUGCACAUUACAGAAAUAUAGAUGUGUAAAGAUGUUACGAAGCGAUAAAGCGCAUGAUGAAGGGCAGCAUUGCGAAGGCGCAAGUGGGAGUAUAUGAAAAGUAGAUCAAUAAGAAGCUCGCAGUCAUGUGACUACGAAGGCCAGCCGCUCUAACAGGGAUUUCUGUGGCAUUCUAUUUGCGAAUUUCGAAUAUUAUAUCUUGAAUAAUAAUUAUUAAUAUUUCUAUAUUGAUCAAAAAACAUUGUUAAAAUUAUAUUUGUAAUAUGAAAAUACUCAAGUAAUUUCUAAUUAUUAUUUUCUAAUAAAAUAUAAUUCAUUUUUAUG